CCUAGUGCCUCCAGAAAGAACGCAGCCCUACUGACACCUUGGUUUUGGCCUGGUGAGACCAACUUUGGACUUUUCACUUCCAAAACUAAAACGAAGAGUGCUCUGGACAGUGGGUGGAGAAGAUUCAAGUACAUCUUCCUUGCUGACAAUAUGCUCUCCUAUCUUUUGUAAGAGUACACAAUUUAAAUUUCUAAAAAUUCAUUACAAUACAAAGCAAAACAAUCCCUCGUAGAUUUAUAAUCAAACUAAUAUGCCACUUAGAAAAGAUUUGAAAUAAAUGCAAAUACCUAGGUACAA
rnacentral:lncRNA from 1 species